CACGUAGGGCGCAAGCGUUGUCCGGAAUUAUUGGGCGUAAAGAGCUCGUAGGCGGUCUGUUGCGUCCGCUGUGAAAACCCGGGGCUUAACCCCUGGCUUGCAGUGGGUACGGGCAGACUAGAGUGUGGUAGGGGAGACUGGAAUUCCUGGUGUAGCGGUGAAAUGCGCAGAUAUCAGGAGGAACACCGAUGGCGAAGGCAGGUCUCUGGGCCACUACUGACGCUGAGAAGCGAAAGCAUGGGGAGCGAACAGG
rnacentral:rRNA from 1 species